rnacentral:rRNA from 1 species
GAUCCUGGCUCAGGAUGAACGCUAGCGACAGGCUUAACACAUGCAAGUCGAGGGGCAUCAUGAGGUAGCAAUACCUUGAUGGCGACCGGCGCACGGGUGGGUAACGCGUAUGCAACCUGCCCGAUACCGGGGGUAUAGCCCAUGGAAACGUGGAUUAACACCCCAUAGUACUUUUAUCCUGCCUGGGAUGGGAGUUAAAUGUUCAAGGUAUCGGAUGGGCAUGCGUCCUAUUAGUUAGUUGGCGGGGU